rnacentral:rRNA from 1 species
UACGUAGGGGGCUAGCGUUGUCCGGAAUCAUUGGGCGUAAAGAGCUCGUAGGCGGUUUGUCGCGUCUGCCGUGAAAGUCCGGGGCUCAACUCCGGAUCUGCGGUGGGUACGGGCAGACUAGAGUGAUGUAGGGGAGACUGGAAUUCCUGGUGUAGCGGUGAAAUGCGCAGAUAUCAGGAGAAACACCGAUGGCGAAGGCAGGUCUCUGGGCAUUAACUGACGCUGAGGAGCGAAAGCAUGGGGAGCGAACAGG